rnacentral:rRNA from 1 species
UACGUAGAAGACUAGUGUUAUUCAUCUUUAUUAGGUUUAAAGGGUACCUAGACAGGAAAUUAAGCUAUAAUAAGAACUAAUCCCCCUAGAGUUUUUAUAAGAAAAAGGGGCGAAUUUCCGGAGGAAAGUUGAUAUUUUGUGAUACUGGAAGGACGGGUAACGGCGAAGGCAACCUUUUAAGUAAGAACUGACGUUGAGGGACGAAGCCUUGGGUAACAAGAAGG